UUUGUACUCCCUCCGUCCCAAAAUUCUUGUCUUAAAUUUGUCUAAAUAUGGAUGUAUCUAGUUACAUUUUAGUGUUAGAUACAUCCGUAUCGAAACAAAUGUAAGACAAGAAUUUUGGGACGGAGGGAAUACUAC
rfam:Triticum aestivum genome assembly, contig: Triticum_aestivum_CS42_TGACv1_scaffold_150614_2BS